UUGCCUUUGCGAGGGGGAUAACAGUUGGAAACGACUGCUAAUACCGCAUAAUGUCUUCGGACCAAACGGGGCUUCGGCUCCGGCGCAAAGAGAGGCCCAAGUGAGAUUAGCUAGUUGGUAAGGUAACGGCUUACCAAGGCGACGAUCUCUAGCUGUUCUGAGAGGAAGAUCAGCCACACUGGGACUGAGACACGGCCCAGACUCCUACGGGAGGCAGCAGUGGGGAAUAUUGCACAAUGGGGGAAACCCUGAUGCAGCCAUGCCGCGUGGGUGAAGAAGGCCUUCGGGUUGUAAAGCACUUUCAGUUGUGAGGAAAAGUUAGUAGUUAAUACCUGCUAGCCGUGACGUUAACAACAGAAGAAGCACCGGCUAACUCCGUGCCAGCAGCCGCGGUAAUACGGAGGGUGCGAGCGUUAAUCGGAAUUACUGGGCGUAAAGCGCACGCAGGCGGUUUGUUAAGCUAGAUGUGAAAGCCCCGGGCUCAACCUGGGAUGGUCAUUUAGAACUGGCAGACUAAAGUCUUGGAGAGGGGAGUGGAAUUCCAGGUGUAGCGGUGAAAUGCGUAGAUAUCUGGAGGAACAUCAGUGGCGAAGGCGACUCCCUGGCCAAAGACUGACGCUCAUGUGCGAAAGUGUGGGUAGCGAACAGGAUUAGAUACCCUGGUAGUCCACACCGUAAACGCUGUCUACUAGCUGUGUGUGCCUUUAAGGCGUGCGUAGCGAAGCUAACGCGCUAAGUAGACCGCCUGGGGAGUACGGCCGCAAGGUUAAAACUCAAAUGAAUUGACGGGGGCCCGCACAAGCGG
rnacentral:rRNA from 1 species